GCUCAGCCGGUGGAAACCUGGACGCGCUGCGGGCGCGGGGAGACCUGCGCCAACGCCCACCUGCGGGCCACAGGCGGGAUAAAGCCGCUUCUCUUUGUCCCCAGCAGAGAACCCUCCUUCCUCUAAGUAUUUUCUUCAGCAACUAAACUUGAAGGUGAACUAGGACAGAAGAAAAGGAUUAGAACUUUAGAACUCCAGGACCCAACCUCAAUCCCUUCAAGCACUGUCUGCAAACAGAUGCUAUGCUGGCCUCAGCACCCUGUCUGGUGAAACUGCUCCUUGGGGUGACAUCAGUCGAGUGUGUGAGGCUUCCACGGAUGCCGACUUUUACACCAUGGAAGGGCUUUCUCCUCACUCUCCCUUCUUCAUGCCACUCCAUCCAUGCGCUUUCUCCCCUCCCCAUGGGGUGGGGGGUGGGGGCCUUUCCUCCAGCUGGGAGCAGAGGCCUUGGCCAACUAGAUGUGUCUUCUGGGAUGUCACAGUUGGGCCGGGCCACUGCUCACCUCUUGCACAGGCUGGUGGCUUAAAUAAAACUCCUAUAGCAACUCACAGAGUAUUUGAA